GUUGGAAAAUCUCUUUUCUUUCAAGCUAAUCAGAAUAGAAGGUGUACCUUAGUGGUCUCCCUGAAGAAACCAUUUGAGGAGCUGCCAAGGACUUUGGAUUAUCAAGUAGCAGAGAAAUAUGAAGAAAGAUAAACAUCUUGAUUGUCUGAACAAAAAGGAAAGAAUGCUACUAUACAUGCAAAGGUAGAGAAGGCAUAACAAAGAAAUUGUAGGGAGUCCAACAACAUUUCUGAAUACUACUAAAAAGCACAGGAGCAAGCAUACAACCCUGCUUUACUGCAUUGGUGAAUGGGAAAUCAUGUGAGCUUCAUUCAAUAUCCAGAACCUGUGCACACAUGCUUUAAUGGUGCUGAUGCUCAAUACUGAUGAACUUCUCUGGACACCAAAUUUUGCCAUAAUAUUCCAUUCAUGGCAUGUCUGACUGACAUCAUCAAAGGCAGCAAACCUCACAUCAGUUAUUCCUUGGCUACUAUGACUCUCAAGUAAAUAAUUAUCUUCUUGUUGUUAUCAGGUUAUUAAAGAGAACUCUGGCAAGAAUAUUGUCAAAAUUAAAUAAAAGACAGACUAUACCCUG